CGUGCUUAACACAUGCAAGUCGAACGAAGAGCGAUGGAAGCUUGCUUCUAUCAAUCUUAGUGGCGAACGGGUGAGUAACGCGUAAUCAACCUGCCCUUCAGAGGGGGACAACAGUUGGAAACGACUGCUAAUACCGCAUACGAUCUAAUCUCGGCAUCGAGGAUAGAUGAAAGGUGGCCUCUACAUGUAAGCUAUCACUGAAGGAGGGGAUUGCGUCUGAUUAGCUAGUUGGAGGGGUAACGGCCCACCAAGGCGAUGAUCAGUAGCCGGUCUGAGAGGAUGAACGGCCACAUUGGGACUGAGACACGGCCCAGACUCCUACGGGAGGCAGCAGUGGGGAAUCUUCCGCAAUGGACGAAAGUCUGACGGAGCAACGCCGCGUGAGUGAUGACGGCCUUCGGGUUGUAAAGCUCUGUUAAUCGGGACGAAAGGCCUUCUUGCGAAUAGUGAGAAGGAUUGACGGUACCGGAAUAGAAAGCCACGGCUAACUACGUG
rnacentral:rRNA from 1 species